UUCGGCGAUGUUUACAUCUGCCACAGCGGUGGGUGUGGUUCCCGGGCAGGGUUGGGUCCAUCCGGGCCUGCCCCCUACUGCAUCAUAGGGUGGGGUCGCUACAGGUGUAGAGGGAGUGCACUCCCUCACCUGUUCAAGAUAUACCUUAUAUAAGCAGCCAGCCUCAUUGGGACAAAUUUAGAUCCCACGGCGACUGUGUUUGGUGGUUAUGACAGAUUUUGGCUGCAGGAAGACGUCAGCACCUCCUUCAAUAGGUGUCUCAACAUCCCUCCUUAACAGGAAGGCUACAGCUUCAACCAUUUUACCAUCUGACCAUCUUACCUCUGUGAGCUUUACAGAUAGCACAGAACCUAUGGCAGCGUCUAACUAAUACUCCCUGAAGAAGACCG